rnacentral:rRNA from 1 species
CUGCGUGAAGUCGGAGUUGCUAGUAAUCGCGGAUCAGCAUGCCGCGGUGAAUACGUUCCCGGGCCUUGUACACACCGCCCGUCACACCACCCGAGUCGUCUGCACCCGAAGCCGCCGGCCGAACCCGAAAGGGGCGGAGGUGUCGAAGGUGUGGAGGGUAAGGGGGGUGAAGUCGUAACAAGGUAGCCGUACCGGAAGGUGCGGCUGGAUCACCUCCUUUCUAGGGAGA